GGUCGAGUAGUAUAACGGUAGAACGCGAGUUUCACAGAUUGUAUCAUUCACUCGAGGCCCGGGUUCGAUUCCCGGCUCGACUA